rnacentral:rRNA from 1 species
UCGAGAAUCUUUCGCAAUGGGCGAAAGCCUGACGAAGCGACGCCGCGUGCGCGAUGAAGUCCUUCGGGAUGUAAAGCGCUGUUAGUUCGGAUUAAGUCCUUGACAAUAAAUAAUUGUCGAGGAUUGACUGUACGAGCAGAGAAAGCCACGGCUAACUCCGUGCCAGCAGCCGCGGUAAUACGGAGGUGGCGAGCGUUACUCGGAUUUACUGGGUGUAAAGGGCAUGUAGGCGUCUUGCAAUGUCCCGUUUGAAAUCCUCUGGCUCAACCAGAGAACUGGACGGGAAACUUGCAGGAUUGAGUUUGGGAGAGGGAAGCGGAAUUCCCGGUGUAGCGGUGAAAUGCGUAGAUAUCGGGAAGAACACCCGUGGCGAAAGCGGCUUCCUAGACCAAAACUGACGCUGAAAUGCGAAAGCUAGGGGAGCAAACAGG